rnacentral:tRNA from 1 species
UCUAAUGUGGCAGAAACAUUAUGCAAUGGACUUAAGCUCCAUCCAAGGGAUACUUCCCCUUUAGAA